rnacentral:rRNA from 1 species
GCCAUUGCUAUCGGAGUCCGAUUUAGCCACGCUAGUCGUGAGGGUUCAGACCCUCGGCGAAUAGCUCCGUAACACGUGGCCAAACUACCCUAUGGAGAGCCAUAAUCUCGGGAAACUGAGGCUAAUAGCUCAUAUCACUCCCAGGCUGGAAUGCCGGGAGGUAGAAACGCUCCGGCGCCAUAGGAUGUGGCUGCGGCCGAUUAGGUAGACGGUGGGGUAACGGCCCACCGUGCCGAUAAUCGGCACGGGUUGUGAGAGCAAGAACCCGGAGAUGGAAUCUGAGACAAGAUUCCAGGCCCUACGGGGCGCAGCAGGCGCGAAACCUUUACACUGCACGCAGGUGCGAUAAGGGGACUCCGAGUGCGAGGGCAUACAGUCCUCGCUUUUGAGAACCGUAAGGAGGUUCUCGAAUAAGAGCUGGGCAAGACCGGUGCCAGCCGCCGCGGUAAUACCGGCAGCUCAAGUGAUGGCCGCUAUUAUUGGGCCUAAAGCGUCCGUAGCCGGCCGAAUAGGUCCGUCGGGAAAUCCACUGGCUCAACCAGUGGGCGUCCGGCGGAUACCGUUCGGCUUGGGACCGGAAGACUCGAGGGGUACGUCCGGGGUAGGAGUGAAAUCCUGUAAUCCUGGACGGACCACCGAUGGCGAAAGCACCUCGAGAGGACGGAUCCGACGGUGAGGGACGAAAGCUAGGGUCUCGAACCGGAUUAGAUACCCGGGUAGUCCUAGCCGUAAACGAUGCUCGCUAGG